rnacentral:rRNA from 1 species
AUUGAACGCUGGCGGCAGGCCUAACACAUGCAAGUCGAGCGGAUGAAGUUAGCUUGCUCCUGGAUUCAGCGGCGGACGGGUGUGUAAUGCCUAGGAAUCUGCCUGGUAUAGGGUGAUAACGUCCGUAAACGGGCGCUAAUACCGCAUACGUCCUGAGGGAGAAAGUUGGGGAUCUUCGUACCUCACGCUAUCAUAUGAUCUUAGGUCGGAUUAGCUAGUUGGUGGGGUAAAGGCCUACCAAGGCGACGAUCCGUAACUGGUCUGAGAGGAUGAUCAGUCACACGGGAACUGAGACACGGUCCAGACUCGUACGUGAGGCAGCAGUGGGGAAUAUUGGAGAAUGAGCGAAAGCCUGAUCCAGACAAGCCGCGUGUGUGAAGAAGGUCUACGGAUUGUGAAGCACUUUAAGUUGGGAGGAAGUGAAGUAAGGUAAUACCUGGCGGUUUUGACGUAACAAAAAGAAUAAGCACCGGCUAACUUCGUG